rnacentral:lncRNA from 1 species
AUGCUAAUAUUUAAAGAGAAAUUGAAAUGUAAUAGAUAAUACUAAAUAGUAAAGAUGAAAGCCAUACAAAAUGGGAUAAAGUAUAGAAAAAAUUUCCUAUUUGUCUCAGCAUAUUUUCUAUUCCACUUCUUCAGAGGGAGUCACUUAAUCUGUUUCUUAAGAUCCAUGAUAUAAUAAUCUGUGUGAAUGUAAUUGUGUUUAAAUAUAUGUAUUUUAUUCUGUAAAAAAAUAAAAAAAAAAUAAAUUGGUAAAAAAAACAAAAAAAUGGUUAAAAAAACCCCAUAUAAUAUUAUUGUAGUGUUUUUACAAAUAAAAGAUGCCUUUGAUAAUAAUAUAUUUGCAUAUGCCUACAUAUUUCACUGUGUAUACUCUUUUUAGAUGUAAAAUUUUGCAGUUAAAAGCAAAAUUGAGUGAGAGGAUUCUGUGCAACACAUAUAAAAAUCAUAAGUGCUCCUAUCUUGUGGGGAAAAACUGUGAGUCUAUAUGUAGGUCAGCAUGUCAGGAGAUUGGGAUGCACGUGGAGGACGGGUGCAAGAUGAUGCCCAAGAGAGGAGCAAGAGCCAACUCUUGGUAACACGUAAAACUCAGCACAGCCUAGAGAGAAGCAUAAAUCAGGAUAGCUUCAUGAUUGCACAUGGAAAUAAAAGUUAAUAAAUCAGGCAAAAAGAUCUCUCAUAUGGACUUUAUCAUUUCAUUUGCCCUUAUUUCCUUGUUUCUUCCAUUGGGAUAACUUCUCAUUCCAAGGCAUUAUUUCCAGGAGGAGGAGACAGUGUCUCUUGUGCCAGUUAUGAGAGACACUGAGGUCAAGUCCCUUUCCAAAUAUGCAACAAAAAUAUAUAGCCUGAACCAGUUUCAGAAAUACCUCCAUUUGAACUAGUGUUCCUUAGAAUUAAAUAACUUAAUGUCCAGGAAUGCUUUUUAAAUUCAGAAUACUCCUUGCCUGAACAACUCAUAAUCCUGCAGUGCAUAGUUUACCUGAUCUUCAGCAGCCUAACAGGAUUCUAGGUAGUGGGGUUUGGAGUAGUUCAACUUCAUUGGAGAAAAAGACAGAUUGCAGAUCUGGAACAUGGAUUUCUACCCACUGGUGCAUGGAGGACAAGGGAACAGAAAUGUAGCAAAUAAUAUAUUAAAUACCUAUUGUAUAACAGGAACUUUGAAUAUAACACGCAUGCAAAGGUCUCUCUAUUGAGUAGAACCUGAGAUUCAGGUAGACCAGGAUGUAGAUGUUCCCUCCUACCUGACCCUCCCCCCCCACUUCUUCAGAGCACAGUGGGAAGAAAAUGAAUCCUCACAGUGAUAGAGUCACAUACAUGGUCCAAAACAGGUAGCCAGCCACAACUUCCGAUUCUUCUUUGGAACAGGAGUUCAUUGAAAGCAACUCAAAACUUUUCAUAAAUGGAGUUUGUGAAUAGAUGUAAUAGAAACCAGAGGGCAGGGAGAUAAAAAGGCCCCCUGAAGUAAUGUAAGAAAAAUGUUGCUAUGUCUAAAUAUGGUGUCUGGAAGAAUGAGCUAGACCCUGCAUCUUGAUUCAUGUAUCCAGAGAAAUCAGUGGAGGACCCAGUGUGAGCCUAUGUUUGAAUCUAUACUCACGUCAUCCUGUCCACUGAGAAGAAGUCCAGGAUAUAAGGCAAAGCUGAAAGACUGUUACCCUCCUCUCCAACUAUUUUGCUUAUCACCCCUGAGAGCUGUCGAUCCAGGAAUAGAAUUACAUUUCCAUAGAAGUCAGUGAGAGAACACAGCCAUUCAAGCUGUAGAAGACAAAGGAUCUUCCUUCAAUAAAGAAACAGGUACCCAAGUCCUGUGCCACCACUUGGCUGGCCUGAUAAGGAUCGUUACCAGUGGCAUUAAGGCCAUAGUCACAUAUGAAUUCCUCUCCUUGAUUCCUUUUGAGAUUUCUUAUCUUAAGGGAUACAGUAAUAAGAGAGAGCCAAAGUCUUGCCUACUUGUCAUAAAGGAAAAUGGUCUAGUGAAUUGUGGGCAAAACAGGCUGGGGUUUAGGCAACACUGGAUUAUACAAAUAUAAUUUUAUUUAAUUCUUCCUACAACCCACUGGUGUAGGGAUAAUAAUCUUAAUUUUUAUAUUUGAAGUGGACAUCAGGUUUAUUGAGGUUAAGUAACUUAUAUUUGCAAAACCAGUAAGUGAUGUGGUGGGAAUCAUACCUGCGUCCAUUUGAUAGCAAAGCUACUGCAUGAUUCUGACUACAGCAGAAUCCUACCAUCUGUUUAUUGAAGAGCAGGGUGCCAACAUUGUUUUUCAGGAUGGAUUAUGAAAAGAAAGGGUAGGAGUUAAUUAAAGACAAUUUUAUCUUGAUUUGGCCCUACCUAGGACCCUUUCUUUCAUAAAAGCAAACAUGCCAAAUUAAAGUUGUCAGCUGUCAGAAUUACCAAAAAUAAACUGUAUCUUAUUCUUCUGGCUGGCUUCAAGUGUUGAUAGGUAAAGUACUCUUUGGACCAGUUUGUAUUUUGUAGAUGAAUGACCCUGUUUCUAUCUUUGCUUGGCAAACAUUAAAGGCUAAAUAAGCAAGCCCUUCUUCUACACAGAUCAAUAUAUCUCCAUAAAUGCUCAUUAACAUAGAAUCCUUGUUAUUUUACAAUCAAUUGGGCAUACCUAGAACUUUGACCCUAAAUUUCAACAAAAGGCACAAUGUCCUUGAAAGUUAUAUUGCUAAUGAUUUGAUCCCCAGCAAAAGAAACUUUCCUACAAGAGGGAGUUACAACAUUUUGCUUCUAAUUAUAAAAUGAACAGAGGACUAAUUAGAUGUUUUAAAACCCAAAGGAAAAAAAAUUCAUAGCUUUUCUUCUAAAUAUAAAAUUGUCUGAGGUUAAAAGAUCUGAUCUCAAUUAUUUAGGACUUGAUUUCUUAAGAUGUUACUUUUUUUUUUCUUUUAAUUUUAUGUCUGCACCCAUGGCAUAGGGAAGUUCCUGGGCCAGGGACUGAAUCGUAGCCACAGCUGCAAUCUAUGCCACCACAGGUGUGGUAACUCCUAAUCCUUUAAACUACUUUGCCAGGCUGGGAUCAAAGAGAAACAUCUACAGCAACCAAAGAGGCUACAGUUGGAAUCUUAAUCCACUGUGCCAUGGCAGGAACUCCAAGAUGUCUCUGUUUUAAUAGAGUCAGAAAAGUCAAAUCUGGAGGCAAAUUUGUUGUUUGUAGAGAUAGUUUAGGCCAAGUUUUCUUAUUUUUUGGCAAGGAUGAGUUAAUUACUGAAAAAAAAAA